GAUGAACGCUGGCGGCGUGCCUAAUACAUGCAAGUCGAGCGAACAGACGAGGAGCUUGCUCCUCUGACGUUAGCGGCGGACGGGUGAGUAACACGUGGAUAACCUACCUCUAAGACUGGGCUACCUUCGGGAAACCGGAGCUCAUACCGGAUAAUAUAUUGAACCGCAUGGUUCAAUAGUGAAAGACGGUUUUGCUGUCACUUAUAGAUGGAUCCGCGCCGCAUUAGCUAGUUGGUAAGGUAACGGCUUACCAAGGCAACGAUGCGUAGCCGACCUGAGAGGGUGAACGGCCACACUGGAACUGAGACACGGUCCAGACUCCUACGGGAGGCAGCAGUAGGGAAUCUUCCGCAAUGGGCGAAAGCCUGACGGAGCAACGCCGCGUGAGUGAUGAAGGUCUUCGGAUCGUAAAACUCUGUUAUUAGGGAAGAACAAAUGUGUAAGUAACUAUGCACGUCUUGACGGUACCUAAUCAGAAAGCCACGGCUAACUACGUG
rnacentral:rRNA from 1 species